rnacentral:rRNA from 1 species
UUGAUCUCAAAUCAGGCAGGACUACCCGCUGAACUUAAGCAUAUCAAUAAGCGGAGGAAAAGAAACUAACAAGGAUUCCCCUAGUAACUGCGAGUGAAGCGGGAAAAGCUCAAAUUUAAAAUCUGACAGUUGUUCUGGCUGUCCGAGUUGUAAUCUAGAGAAGUGUUACCCGCGCUGGACCGUGUACAAGUCUCCUGGAAUGGAGCAUCAUAGAGGGUGAGAAUCCCGUCUUUGACAUGGACUACCAGGGCUUUGUGGUGCGCUCUCAAAAGAGUCGAGUUGUUUUGGG